UUUUGCGCGCUAUGGUGUGGUAAGCGGAAACGCCCCAAUACUUUAUUUGUGUUUAGUAUAGGACACCUAAUGCGCGCUUAUUU
ncrna:unclassified sequences c4-2 RNA